rnacentral:rRNA from 1 species
AAUCAAACCGGGAGAUAGCUGGUUCUCCCCGAAAGCUAUUUAGGUAGCGCCUCGUGAAUUCAUCUCCGGGGGUAGAGCACUGUUUCGGCUAGGGGGCCAUCCCGGCUUACCAACCCGAUGCAAACUGCGAAUACCGGAGAAUGUUAUCACGGGAGACACACGGCGGGUGCUAACGUCCGUCGUGAAGAGGGAAACAACCCAGACCGCCAGCUAAGGUCCCAAAGUCAUGGUUAAGUGGGAAACGAUGUGGGAAGGCCCAGACAGCCAGGAUGUUGGCUUAGAAGCAGCCAUCAUUUAAAGAAAGCGUAAUAGCUCACUGGUCGAGUCGGCCUGCGCGGAAGAUGUAACGGGGCUAAACCAUGCACCGAAGCUGCGGCAGCGAACGUAUCACCCAAGACAACUUUACGGAGUUGACGAUUGACGGAGCGAAGCGACGUCAAAGCGUUCAUUAAAGUCGAGUUGGCUUAGGGAUACGUUCGUUGGGUAGGGGAGCGUUCUGUAAGCCUGUGAAGGUGUGUCGUGAGGCAUGCUGGAGGUAUCAGAAGUGCGAAUGCUGACAUAAGUAACGAUAAAGCGGGUGAAAAGCCCGCUCGCCGGAAGACCAAGGGUUCCUGUCCAACGUUAAUCGGGGCAGGGUGAGUCGACCCCUAAGGCGAGGCCGAAAGGCGUAGUCGAUGGGAAACGGGUUAAUAUUCCCGUACUUGGUGUUACUGCGAAGGGGGGACGGAGAAGGCUAUGUUGGCCGGGCGACGGUUGUCCCGGUUUAAGCGUGUAGGUGUGUGUUCCAGGUAAAUCCGGUUCACUUUAACACUGAGGCGUGACGACGAGGCACUACGGUGCUGAAGCAACAAAUGCCCUGCUUCCAGGAAAAGCCUCUAAGCAUCAGGUAACACGAAAUCGUACCCC